rnacentral:rRNA from 1 species
UACGUAGGGGGCAAGCGUUGUCCGGAUUUAUUGGGCGUAAAGAGCGUGUAGGCGGCCAAGCAGGUCCGCUGUGAAAACUCGAGGCUCAACCUCGAGAGGUCGGUGGAAACCGUUUGGCUAGAGUCCGGAAGAGGAGAGUGGAAUUCCCGGUGUAGCGGUGAAAUGCGCAGAUAUCGGGAAGAACACCCGUGGCGAAGGCGGCUCUCUGGGACGGUACUGACGCUGAGACGCGCAAGCGUGGGGAGCGAACAGG